rnacentral:rRNA from 1 species
UACGGGGGGGGCAAGCGUUGUUCGGAAUUACUGGGCGUAAAGGGCGCGUAGGCGGUCUUCUAAGUCUUGUGUGAAAUCCCUCGGCUCAACUGAGGAACUGCACGGGAUACUGGAAGACUUGAGUUCGGGAGAGGGAAGCGGAAUUCCGGGUGUAGCGGUGAAAUGCGUAGAUAUCCGGAGGAACACCGGUGGCGAAGGCGGCUUCCUGGACCGAUUACUGACGCUGAGGCGCGAAAGCUAGGGGAGCAAACGGG